rnacentral:rRNA from 1 species
AGUGAACGCUGGCGGUAGGCCUAACACAUGCAAGUCGAACGGCAGCACAGUAAGAGCUUGCUCUUACGGGUGGCGAGUGGCGGACGGGUGAGGAAUACAUCGGAAUCUACUUUUUCGUGGGGGAUAACGUAGGGAAACUUACGCUAAUACCGCAUACGACCUACGGGUGAAAGCAGGGGAUCUUCGGACCUUGCGCGAUUGAAUGAGCCGAUGUCGGAUUAGCUAGUUGGCGGGGUAAAGGCCCACCAAGGCGACGAUCCGUAGCUGGUCUGAGAGGAUGAUCAGCCACACUGGAACUGAGACACGGUCCAGACUCCUACGGGAGGCAGCAGUGGGGAAUAUUGGACAAUGGGCGCAAGCCUGAUCCAGCCAUACUGCGUGGGUGAAGAAGGCCUUCGGGUUGUAAAGCCCUUUUGUUGGGAAAGAAAAGCAGCAGGUUAAUACCCCGCUGUUCUGACGGUACCCAAAGAAUAAGCACCGGCUAACUUCGAG